UCUCACGGGAGGCAGCAGUGAGGAAUAUUGGUCAAUGGGCGGGAGCCUGAACCAGCCAAGCCGCGUGAGGGAAGAAGGUACAGCGUAUCGUAAACCUCUUUUGUCAGGGAACAAAGGCGGGGACUAGUCCCCGGAUGAGGGUACCUGAAGAAAAAGCAUCGGCUAACUCCGUGCCAGCAGCCGCGGUAAUACGGAGGAUGCGAGCGUUAUCCGGAUUUAUUGGGUUUAAAGGGUGCGCAGGCGGUCUGUUAAGUCAGCGGUCAAAGCCCGGGGCUCAACCCCGGCCCGCCGUUGAAACUGGCAGU
rnacentral:rRNA from 1 species